CCGUAUUGAUCUCGAUUCUCGUAUUUAUAAUAGGAGGGGUGGUGAGAGAUAUUUUGAGGGAUUCGAAAUUCGAAAUUGAAUUUUGAAUAGGUUGUUGUGGUUGGUUGAAAGAUAUUUGAGAUUGGUUGGAAAUUCAAAAUUCGAAAUCGAAUUUUGAAUGGGUUGUUGGAUGGUUGGAGGAUAUUUUGAGGAUUGAUUCAAAAUUCAAAAUCGAAUUUUGAAUGAGUUGUGGAAGAUAUUUUGGGAGUUAGUUCGAAAUUCGGAAUUCGAAAUCGAAUUUUGAAUAGGUUUUUGGAUGGUUAGAGGAUAUUUUGAGAAUUGAUUCGAAAUUCGAAAUCGAAUUUUGAAUGGGUUGUGAAAAAUAUUUUGGGAGUUGGUUGGAAAUUCGAAAUUCGAAAUCGAAUUUUGAAUGGAUUGUUGGAUGGUUGGAAGAUAUUUUGGGAAUUGGUUAGGGAUUCGAAAUUCGAAAUCGAAUUUUGAAUAGGUUGGUGGGUGGUUGGAAGAUAUUUUGGGAGUUGGUUGGGAAUUCGAAAUUCGAAAUUGAAUUUUAAAUGGGUUAUUGGAUGGUUGGAGGGUAUUUUGGAAAUUGGUUGGAAAUUUGAAAUUCGAAAUCGAAUUUUGAAUGGGUUGUUGGAUGGUUAGGUAUUCAAAAUUCGAAUGAGAGAUAUUUUGGGUGUUGGUUCGAAAGUCGAAAUCGAAUUUCGAAUAGGGUUAUUAGGAUAACAGAUAUUUUCUAGUUGGUUGGGGGUUUAAAAAUUAAAAAUCGAAUUUGAAUAUGAUAUUCGAAAUUGAAUUUUCAAACGUGGGUAAAAAUGUGGGUCGUGAUCCCAUGAAUUGGGCUUAAAUUGGGCCCACUUUGUUGAAAUUUGUUCAGCACGAAUAUUCAUUAGGUUGAGAUGAGGCCCGAAUUUUUGUAUAAGCCUAAAAUCUUAAAGGGUUUUCAUGAGGCCCAUUAAUUCACAUUUAUGAAUGGGCCUAUUAUGGAUUAUAAUUAUUGGCCCCAAAAUUUUAUGGUCAACAUGAGACCUAUUAAGAUUGUGUGAGUCCGAUUUAAUUUUUUGAUUAUGAUUAGGAUUGUUUCAUCCUAUAUAAAUAGUAUAA
rnacentral:lncRNA from 1 species